UGGUACAAAUGGUUAAGACGCUUGGCUGCAAAUCAAAAGGUUGGGGGUUCGAGUCCCCC
rnacentral:tRNA from 1 species